rnacentral:rRNA from 1 species
UACGGAGGGUGCGAGCGUUGUUCGGAAUCACUGGGCGUAAAGCGCGUGUAGGCGGCCUGCUAAGUCUGAUGUGAAAGCCCGAGGCUCACCCUCGGAAGCGCAUUGGAAACUGGCAGACUGGAGUCCCGGAGAGGAGGGUGGAAUUCCUGGUGUAGCGGUGAAAUGCGUAGAUAUCAGGAGGAACACCGACGGCGAAGGCAGCACUCUGGGCCGGUACUGACGCUGAGGAGCGAAAGCAUGGGGAGCAAACAGG